UGGGGAAUAUUGGACAAUGGGCGAAAGCCUGAUCCAGCCAUGCCGCGUGUGUGAAGAAGGUCUUCGGAUUGUAAAGCACUUUAAGUUGGGAGGAAGGGCAUUAACCUAAUACGUUAGUGUUUUGACGUUACCGACAGAAUAAGCACCGGCUAACUCUGUGCCAGCAGCCGCGGUAAUACAGAGGGUGCAAGCGUUAAUCGGAAUUACUGGGCGUAAAGCGCGCGUAGGUGGUUUGGUAAGUUGGAUGUGAAAUCCCCGGGCUCAACCUGGGAACUGCAUUCAAAACUGACUGACUAGAGUAUGGUAGAGGGUGGUGGAAUUUCCUGUGUAGCGGUGAAAUGCGUAGAUAUAGGAAGGAACACCAGUGGCGAAGGCGACCACCUGGACUAAUUCUGACACUGAGGUGCGAAAGCGUGGGGAGCAAACA
rnacentral:rRNA from 1 species